rnacentral:rRNA from 1 species
GUGUCAGCAGCCGCGGUAAAACGGAGGGUGCAAGCGUUGUUCGGAAUUACUGGGCGUAAAGCGCGAGUAGGCGGCUUUUUAAGUUUCGUGUGAAAUCCCUUGGCUUAACCGAGGAACAGCGCGGAAAACUGGAAGGCUUGAAUACGGGAGAAGUGGGCGGAAUUCCCAGUGUAGAGGUGAAAUUCGUAGAUAUUGGGAGGAACACCGGCGGCGAAAGCGGCUCACUAGACCGAUAUUGACGCUCAUACGCGAGAGCAUGGGUAGCAAACAGGAUUAGAUACCCUGGUAGUCCAUGCUGUAAACGAUGGAUGCUAGGUGUUCGGGGAGUUGACCCCCCGAGUGCCGAAGUCAACACAUUAAGCAUCCCGCCUGGGAAGUACGGUCGCAAGACUAAA